GAUGAACGCUGGCGGCGUGCUUAACACAUGCAAGUCGAACGGUGAAAGAGAGCUUGCUCUCUGGAUCAGUGGCGAACGGGUGAGUAACACGUGAGCAAUCUGCCCCUGACUCUGGGAUAA
rnacentral:rRNA from 1 species